CUGCUUUUCACUGCCCUGACAGGAACUGCAUGCAGAUUCCUUAUUCAAAGAAAUAGAGCUAAGAAUAUUUUCUUUUGGAGUUAAAAAGUAGAUCCUGGAGAGGUGCUUGGCUGGCUCAUUUGGUGGAGCAUGAAACUCUUGAUCUUAGCCAAUGGAUAUCAACUUGGUGAAUCUAUAUGGUGGAGAAAUGCUAGCUACGGAUUAAUCACUGGGAGCAGACUGAAAUAUUCCAAGAGGAAAACAAACACGGAUGUUAUCAGACAUUAUUCAGGCGUGUUCUUGUUAAGAGCUUGUUCAGAGUGGGAACACUGGUAG
rnacentral:lncRNA from 1 species